GAUGAAGAACGUAGCGAAAUGCGAUACUUGGUGUGAAUUGCAGAAUCCCGUGAACCAUCGAGUCUUUGAACGCAAGUUGCGCCCGAAGCCAUUAGGCCGAGGGCACGCCUGCCUGGGCGUCACACGUCGUUGCCCCCCCAUCUACUCCUUCGGGAUUGCGGGGGGCGGAUGAUGGCCUCCCGUGCGCCUCGUCGCGCGGUUGGCAUAAAUGCCAAGUCCUCGGCGACACACGCCACGACAAUCGGUGGUUGCGAAACCUCGGUUGCCCGUCGUGUGCGGUCGUCGAGCAUCGAGGGCUCGAAAAAAUUGCCGGGCUCCGGCUCGGCUUUCAACGCGACCCCAGGUCAGGCGGGGUUACCCGCUGAAUUUAAGCAUAUCAAUAAGCGGAGGA
rnacentral:misc_RNA from 1 species